AUGGCGCGCGUUGCCGGCCCAGUGACUGUGCGCGACGGCGCGUGUGGGCCGGCCCAUUCACUGUGCGGCGGGGCGGCACUGCCGUACUACCCGGACAAUGUAAGCUCAUUACACUGCCCGGGCAGUGCGUCAGAGCUGCCAGUUGCAGUACUACUCCUCGUUGCUGCCGCUGGUGAGGUCGAUGACCGGCGCCAUGCCGCCGUUGCCGCCGUCGUCGCCGCUGGACUCGUCGUCCCACCCCCACAACCCUGGCGUGUCGUCAGGGUCGCCGUCCUGCAUGAGGGCGGCCUGCUCCGGCGGGAUGGGGACCAGCGCCGGGGCAGGGGGCGGCUGCUCUGCCGGGGACCGUGGGGCGGGAGCAGGUGCGGCGUGGCGGCGGCGGUGAUGUCUCCGACGGGGCGGCUGGCCGCCGCGUCCCUGAACGCGCCGAGGACGACGUCGAAAUCUUUGCCCCGCCAGAAGCCACGGCGGGCCCUUCGGUUGUACCGGCCGCCAGGGAAAGCGCGGAGCUCCACCGUCGUCGGCGGCGGGGCAAGGGUAGGUCGGCCGUCGGCGCCGAUCCUCCAUGGCCCCGGCACCUUGGUCGCCGGCGGCACCAUCAGGCCGAACCGCGCGAGGUCCUCGGUGUCGCCGAUCGUGAGGCUGGACGGCCAGGCGCCGCCCGGCCAAGCCCCCUCGUCGGAGUCGCUCGAAGACAUGGCGGACACGGUGGAGGGGAGAUGGAGUGGCGCGGUGGAGGGGAGAAGAUGGGGUGGAGAAGGCCGGCACGGGUUGGCCUUUUAUAGCUGGCGGGGAGAGGGAGGCGCCGGUGGAGCGUCGGUGGAAGGCGGGCGGCCCGACGCGUGGGCAUGCGGCCGCGUCAGGCCCGAGGCGGAAGGCGGGCGGCUCGACGCGGGGCAGGCGGCCGGCGCGUGGCAGACGAGGCCAUCAUGCGGACGCCCCGACGCGGCGGCAGGCGGCCAGGCGCGGCAGAGGCGACCGGUCAGUGGCCGUCGGUGGCGCUCGGCGCGAGGAGGCGGCGCCGGCAUGCACGCUGGAUAUAAGGCGGACAUGCAGUUAUUGCCCCACGACGGAUGCGCCACGUCCACACGCACGCCGGUCCACCACUGCCUGGUCAACGCCCCCUUGACCCGACAUUGUGGUCCCAUGCCAUUGACCCCGACAUUGUGGGCCCAUGCGUGCGGCUCGGCUCGAUGGCUGUCGGCGGCUGUGCGGCUCGGCUCGCUCGGCAGCCCCGUAUACACGGGCGCACGGGGGUAUCGGCAUCGACGCGCGGGGGCAGACUUUUUUACAUUAGACGAUCGUGCCCCUGGCUGCGAAGGGGUAUGGGCUUUUGUUUGUGAUGGAUCAGGGAAGAAGUUCUGGAACUUGUUUUACCUGCAGCCUAUGUGGGUUCAGAAGCAUGAUUUGGCUAAACCAAGCAUGAUCUUGCUUGCAUUGCCGCCUUUGCUACAUGAAGCAAUAGGAAGACAUGAGCUGCGAAAUGAUAUAUGGCCAGGUGCCCCCACCACUGGAAGAAGAUCCAGUGUCAAAACAACCCUGCUAUCCCAGCCUCUGUUCCAUAUCGACGCCCUCCGCUGCAAUAUGUCCCAAAAUUCAGAACUAGAAAGCAACGGAAACAUUCCUGAGUUCAGAUUUUGGCCGCUUUCAGUUUCUUCUGCAAGCGCUCACAAGGGUUUUGAUACAAAAUCGUGCAUGGUGCCAUGGGCGGCGCAGGUGGGCCUUCGUCGCCGGCUGAACCCUACGGUGGCUGGGGCGUGCGGUGCAGCGAUACGAGUUGGAUUAGGAGCCGGGAAAGGAAAGAGUUGCAGUGUUGCCCGGCGAGCCAACCUGCUGCCUUUGCCCUCACCUCGCUCUGACUUCUCUUCUCGCACCUCCGAUCUUCCCCCAUCGCCUCCUACACCAAUCACCAGCCGCAUCGUCCCCAGCGACCGGCGUCCCCUGUCCUGUUCCCUUCCCAUGGAGAUUGCCUACCCCUACGGCGGGGAGCUCACCAGGAAGCACGGCUUCGUGACAGGCCAGCCGUUUGACGCCAAGAUCGACAUCAUGUCCGGCCAGAAGCGCGCAAGGGAGAUGGAGAUCCUUCGGCAGCGGUUCCAAUCUGAGCUCGUCGCCGUCCGUCGCCUCCUCCACAAGGCGGCCGCCGUGCUAGUUCCCGCCUCGUCCCCGUUGACUCCCCGCGUCAAGGUGAGUGGUCGAGGUUUCUUGGCCGAGGAGCCGCCGGCCAAGAAGAGGAAGGCGUCCCCUCCCGUUCCUGUGAUCAAGAGCAAGAAGGCGCCAACGAAGAAGAAGAUGACGGCCUCUGAGAGGGAGAUGCUCGCGGAAGACCUGGAGCUGUUCGUUGCGGAAAUCCCUGAUCACAUCGUCCAGCUCUUGAAGGAGCAGAGCUGCGCCACCCGCCCCGGCGAAAUCGAGAUCGACGUCCACGCAUUGGACGACGCCGCCGUCGUCGAGUUGCAAGAGCAGGUUGACAAGUUCGCUCGAGAGAAGAGGUCGGCGAAUCCGUCGCCCCAAGAACGCCACCAAGACGGCCCUGAGGUGAUGGCCGAAGAGGAGGACGAAGAAGUUGACAUCUGUGGCGGCGUCUCCCCCUUAGCGAUCGUGCCGCAACCUCUGCUGCAAGAACGGCACCAAGACGGCCCUAAGGCCAUGGCCGAACAGGAGGAGGAGGAAGAUGUUGACAUUUGCGGUGGCGUCUCCCCAUUACCGAUCGUGCCGGCACCUCUGCUGCUCGUCGAAGAUGAAGAUGAAACAGCCAGCGGCAGCCCAAGCUCCAGCAGCAGCAGCAGUUCAGAUACUGAUUCCAGCGACAGCGAUUCAGACACUGAUUCCGGCAGCAGCGACUCGGGUUCAGAGCACUCCGGCGGCAGUGACUCAGAUUCUGAUUCCGAUGAGAUCGUCGACAGUCCAGCACCGGCCAUCACGCCUCCAACAUGUGAGCAGCUCGCCCGUGCUCUGGAAAGGCAGCGAAAGGAGGCCACGUCCCGGGCAAGGGAGAAGGCCCGUCAGGAGCUGCUCCAGAUGGAGAAGACGGCAAUGCCUGACGAUACCCUACACCGAGAGGAUCUGAAGAGGCUCGGCAUUGAUGAGUACAACACGGCGAAGCCCAGCAACUUGUUGCGGCAGAUUGGGCUCUACCUCAAGGUUGACGAAGACUGGAAGCAGCAACGCCGUCAAAGCUUCCACGAGGAUUUAGAGGAAGGGGAGAUUCGGUCGUGA
rnacentral:rRNA from 1 species